UACGUAGGGUGCAAGCGUUGUCCGGAAUUAUUGGGCGUAAAGAGCUCGUAGGCGGUUCGUCGCGUCGGCUGUGAAAUCCCGAGGCUCAACCUCGGGUCUGCAGUCGAUACGGGCGGACUGGAGUUCGGCAGGGGAGACUGGAAUUCCUGGUGUAGCGGUGAAAUGCGUAGAUAUCUGGAGGAACACCGGUGGCGAAGGCGGCAUCCUGGACCAAUAUUGACGCUGAGGAGCGAAAGCGUGGGGAGCGAACAGG
rnacentral:rRNA from 1 species